ACACAGAAAGGAGUGACCUCUCCAACCUUCCAUAAAUCAUCAGAACACUGCAGAGUGACAGUGGGAACUCCAGAGAUUAAACACGGAGGUGAGGCUGGCCAGGGAUCACAAGAGGCCCAACACCCAGACAGUACGGAACCUGGGUGGGCACCUCGUCCGUUUUGUCAUCCACAGACCAGAGGCUUCUGCACUUCUGAUGACUCCAUCCAGAUCUCCAGCUUGUCCUGUGGACCCAUCCAUGCAGAAGCAGACUCGGCAGGCACAAGGACCAUUUUCCACACCCCUAUGAUUGCACCUCAUCCAAUCAGCAGCACCCACUCCCUAGUCCCCAGCUCCCUCCAGAUUAUCCUUGAAAAACCCUAGCCUCUGAAUUUUGGGGGAGAUUGACUUAAGUAAUAAAAUUCCAGUCUCCCACUUAGCCAGCUCUGUGUGAACUAAACUCUUUCUCUAUUGCAAUUCCCAUCUUGAUGAGUCAACUGAGGUAAAGAGCAACCUGGCUGAAGGUCAACAGCAGGGCUUUUUAAUCAGAUCCAUGCUGCCCCAAAAUAAUGAAACCCUGGAUCAGCUUCUUUUCCAAAUCUUGAGAAUACAGGCUCCUGGGCUGUGAAAUACAAUUUGAAAAUGUUUCUCUUCUAACAAAGAGUGCAAUGUCUUGAGUACUUUAACAUACUGUUUUCUGAAAUCUCACUGUUUGCUGGUAGGUAUCAAUGGCUUUGGUGUGGGGCGUCUGAUAUGUCUAUAUAAAGAAUCUCAUGCUGCCCCAGGAAAAAGCACAUAUAUCCAUAUUUUUGUUUGAUUUUGUAAAGCUUAUUGUACAAGAUCACAUUUUUGUUUUAAUAAAGAACAAAAAUGAAGUUUCAA
rnacentral:lncRNA from 10 species